ACUUUCAAGUGGUAAAGGAAUUCACAAGGUAAGGUACGGUGGAAUUCUUUUACGACUUUGCUGGACACAGACAACUCACUCUAGAUAGGUGGCCACUAGCAGAAGCUUGAGUAAUGUGGAAAAUAUGUCUGUGCAGCUGCUGGCAAAGAAGCAAAAUUAUACUUCCUCAGAAACAGUGUGACAGAGUUCCUGCAAAGGAAUGCAAUGUUGGCUGAUUUGUAAGCAGAACAGCCACUG